rnacentral:rRNA from 1 species
UACGUAGGGGGCAAGCGUUGUCCGGAUUUAUUGGGCGUAAAGAGCGUGUAGGCGGCCCGAUUAGUCCGCUGUGAAAGUCCAGGGCUCAACCCUGGAAUGCCGGUGGAUACUGUCGGGCUAGAGUCCGGAAGGGGCGAGUGGAAUUCCUGGUGUAGCGGUGAAAUGCGCAGAUAUCAGGAGGAACACCAAUGGCGAAGGCAGCUCGCUGGGACGUGACUGACGCUGAGACGCGAAAGCGUGGGGAGCAAACGGG